rnacentral:rRNA from 1 species
CAGGACGAACGCUGCGGCGUGCCUAACACAUGCAAGUCGAGCGGGGACACACGACGGACAGGAAGUUUCGGACAGACUGGAAGAUGUAUGUUCUAGCGGCGGACGGGUGAGUAACGCGUGAGCAACCUGUCCUUCACAGGGGGAUAACACAGCGAAAGUUGUACUAAUACCGCAUAAGACCACGGCGAGGCAUCUCGCAGGGGGUCAAAGGAGCAAUCCGGGUGAAGGGUGGGCUCGCGUCCGAUUAGAUAGUUGGUGAGGUAACGGCCCACCAAGUCGACGAUCGGUAGCCGACCUGAGAGGGUGAUCGGCCACAUUGGGACUGAGACACGGCCCAAACUCCUACGGGAGGCAACAGUGGGGAAUAUUGGGCAAUGGGGGAAACCCUUGACCCAGCAACGCCGCGUGAGGGAAGAAGGUUUUCGGAUCGUAAACCUCUGUCCUAUGUGAAGAGUAAGAGACGGUAGCAUAGGAGGAAGCCCCGGCUAACUACGUGCCAGCCGCAGC